AAUACAGUUUAGAAAUGGCACUGCGGGUAUUGGACGGAUUUCUGUGACUGGCAGUUAGAAGAACGAAGCGAUUGGCUGUCGUUCAGCGCAGGGGCUCAGCAGGGUUCCGCCCCCUCACUCUCUUUAUCGCUGUUGACUCCAAAAAGUUGUACUCACAAAGUUACCAGCGGAUACGUUGAUGCGGCUGUGUGUUUAGCGGCGCCGGUGCGUGUGCGUGACCGAGCGCCAGGUUAUGUGACGAGUGCGGCUUGUUUUGCCUGGGCUCGGGUUUGUCCGAGCGUCUUUACUGUGGAUUCCACGCGUAACAGGAAAACAAAAAGCAGCAAGGCGCUCUGCUGGUGCAUGGCCGUGUGUGACCGGUGCAAAACAUGUGACCGGUCGAGAUUUGCACAAAAGACACAUCUGUAAUAACUUAAACUGUGUUUACAUUGUAUUCGCACAUGUUGAGUUAUUAAGAAGUAUAUGGGACGUCUGCUCCUAUAGGGGAUAAUGUGAUCUCACAAGAAAAUGUCAGAUGACAGGAGCAAACGAGGCAGCAUUGCGUUGUGAAAUAAUUUAAAUUACUUACUAAGAUAAUAAUUGUUAUUUUCAUUAAUUAAUCACGAACACCCGGUCCGAACAUUUGCGUUGCAGUGUUUGUUUUAUUUUUUACAUUGCCGUGAUCGUGUUAAUUUUCCUAGUAGCGGGUUUCAUACGAAUUUAAUACAAUUUUUGCCUAUUACUGCAGUUGUAUUAUAAUUAUUACGCUUAUAUUUAAAUAAUUAGUUAUUUUUAUUUUUUUAAUGACAACCGGCUUAAGACUGAGUUCAGGAUAAGGUAUAAAAUGCCUCCAGUCUUGAGUUGUCCCAACAUAUUUUUAUAACGCAUUGAUUAAAAAACAGUAAACUAGAAACACUUACCAGCUACACGGAAACUACAGUAAACGUGUACCGUAAACUGUACUCAUGUUACCAGACGCCACCAGCUAAAUACCAGUCCUGACUUUGUGUGCUUGGUUUGGGCGCAGGACGCGUGUCAGUCAUGGGCAUGUGUUCAUUCAGACACAUUUCCUAUCGACUCGUGAUAUGUGGCUUCAGCAGCCAUAAUGUCAUGUCGUGCUGCACAGCACUGAGCACGAGCUGCCUGCGAACGCAAACCUACAACUCUGUAAUUCAGCACGAUGGAGACCAACAAUGUGCUGACUGGUCUACACGUUACAGGCCUGUUGCACCGGCUCCUCCGAAAGUGAUUUAUGAACUUGAGCAACGCAAGAUCUGAACAAACCAUUACUUACAAUAUGUAUUUAUGGCACUUAAUAAAAUCCCAUUACUGCUUGAAGUCUCGGUGAUGUUGUGAGAUGAAGUAAAGCUGCCUUUCCCUCAUGAGGGCGUCUGGAGCUCCAUAAACAGAGCAGCAGUAGGUACGUUGUUUAUGAUCCUCUUCAUCAAAAUACGUUCAACACCACAUUAAACAGGAAAAGUGACAUUUAAUUUUUUUAAUUCACGAAUUAAUUCAAUAAAACAAGUAAAACAACAGGAAACAUCAUCUUAAACUUUCUUAGUUAAUUUUUAUUGACUUAUGUUUUCUAAAUUACCUAAAGCUGUCGAGUCCUCAGACGCAGAAAGGGGGACGUCUCAAACCUCCCCCCUCUCUCCCUCUCUCUCUCUCCCUCUCUCUUUCUCGCUCUCUUUCUCUCUCUCUCUUUAAAACAAAGACGCUUUGUCAUAAACAGGGUUAUUUUACCAAAAGGAGUCAAGAGGGCAGCAUAUGUGGUCUUAACAGGUCAUAGGUCAAACAUCCGUGAAACACAAGGUCACUGAAGCCUCACCAGUAACCUUCCAAUGUGUCAACAUAUUGAUAUUGUCAGAUAUUAGAAAUAUGUCUUUGCCCCGCCGCUGACACUGGACUUUAUUAUUAAGCUUUGAUUCACAGGCUGCUUAAGUUGUUACGUCCUAGUUCAUAUUCUGAGUAAUAUUUCAUGUGAUUUAUAUUUUACAUCUAGACCAGUCACAAAUGCGCUCUGUUGCUAAAACCUGUUGAAAUACUAGUCUUUGGGGGCUUUUCAAUAGGCUAGAGCCCCUUUCUUCUGCAAACAGAAGGGAACACCGCAGCCAUGUGUCUCUGUCCGAUUGAUUUUUUUCUUCUUUUUUUUAAUUUUCUUUUCUCUUUUCUCUCUAUCUGGGAAGGUUUUGUGCUAUUUGAGAGAAAUAAAGAACUUCUUACGGGGGUCGGCAGACGUGACUUUGAACUUGGAUCAGCUCCUGCGUUUCCUGCGGUGCGGGCUGAAAUAGACUUGGAAGAAUGGCACACAACACUCAGCCUGUCCCACUCUGAGCUAAGAGACACACAAUUUCUCCCCCACAAAAAAAAAGUUUUUAAACGUUUCCCUCGCCUUCAGCCCGUAUCUGUCGCGUAAAGAGCACCGGAGAGUCGAGAGAGGCAGAGAAAUGUGUGUUGGGACGACGGCAGAGCUUGUGGGAUUUUAAUUUGGUGAAAAUCACCUUUGUAUUCAGCCGGUAAUUGAGUGCUGAGUCUGCUGUGGAGCAGAGCAAUGGAGGCCAGUGCCUGAAGUCAGCGCUGGGACUCCUGCUAAUCCGUUUGCCUGCGCACCAUUGGUGGAGUGAGGCAGCGUCGGGGGCCGAGGAGAGGAGGUGCCUGAAUUCAGUCACACAUCAGUAAAGGGGCUUCAUGUCUGGCCAGUGUUUUUGGAUCAGCAGGUAGUCGCAGGCAAGCUGUUAAAGGGGUCAUCAUUCUUCUCUCUCGCUGCUCCUCACACACAGAUGGGGACCUGCUGAACUCUGCCAAAGCUUAGCGUACGGCAGGCGGAUGACACCGGACCGGACCGGACCGGACCGGACCGGACCGGACCGCCACGUCGGAUGCAUUGGAGGCAGAAGUCGUCUCCUCUGGUCAAAGCAGGAUGAACCUGAUGCUGGUUCUGCACGCUGCCAUCAAACGCCUGCAGGACCAGCACACACAGGACGAGCGGCUCCGUCAUCGGGCGGCGCCUCAUCGGACCCGCGUUCGGCGGGCGGCGAGUCCACGCCAAAUGAAAGCGGGGCCGAACCCCGGCGCCUCUCGCUCACAGAGGCUUCACACAGGCUGCGUGGGAGCCAGGGAGCGGCGCCUGAGGGCUGCUGUCAGACAGCCGGAGCAGGGUGCCGCCUCUCUUCUUAUCCUCUCUCCUCUCACUUCUUGCCGUUUGGGAUCCGCGCCGUUUUGCAGCCGAGGGCCCAUGUGGGAACCCCAGAAGGCUGGCUGACAGCCUGGAUAAACCCUCGCUCCUCCAGACAUGUUCCCCGGUCCUAUCAGCUGGGGACAGCACCUUGAGCCCUGAUGGGAGACCUGGUCCAGGGAAAUUGAAUUAGCCUUUGUGUCUGGGACUUCAUUGAUUGCUAUUAGAGCUUGCCCGGAGCUGGGUGAAGGAGCGACCAGGGGAAUUAAGGCGGUUGGAGGCUCCUCCAGACAGGCUCCAGAAGGUGUCGGCUGCAAACGCUCCUCUCAAACCGCAGCGGUGGAAAACAAGCGGAUUAGCAAGACAAUGUUCACACUGCCAGCCGCGGAUGAAAGAGCUGCGCUGUGUUUUCAAACUAAGGAAGAACAAUAGGUCAGAGGAAGAAAGAGCUAGGCUGACCUGACCCCCCCUCUGCUGAAGCUGAGACACCACUGAUCUCUCCGGCUGACUCACACAAAGAGGGAGAGGAGCUACCUGUGGGCAACGCGAGGCUGCAGAGACACCUGCCUCAUUUAGAGAACGAGAGGCCCAAGAAGCCAAUGCAGAAAGUGGAGGAGCAGCACGACGGCCGACUCACACAUUCUAACGGAUGCGAUGACGGACUCGUAUCCUGAUUGUGCAGUUGGUAGUGUGCACAAUGAGGGCGGAGAGAGGGAAAUGUGCACGGCAGCUUUCCAUUAUGAGAUAGUGUGUAUUACUGUAAUCCAGAGGGCCUCCUGCUCGCUGUGGCGUGUGCCAGACUCCUGGGUGGGCAAUCUCAGAGACAGUGGGGAGGCCCAGCUUAUUUCUGGGCACAUUUGGCAUGGCCUAUAUGGCUGUUACAAGAACUAGAAGUGGAACAGAAGUCAUAAAAAGACGUUUUGAUAUUUCAGGAGAAACUUCUUAAGUGCUUGAGGCGAAAGGUGUGUGUUGUUUUUUUUUUCCUUUUGCUUAAAUUUGGUGUUAAAAUGGGAAAAUGGGCAGGUUGGUUAACACAAUAAUCAUUCUCGAACACAUAUAAUCAUCACAAUAUGGAUUAUAUAUAUAUGUGUGUGCUCACUUUUAUUGAAAGGCAUGCAGCUCUGGUUGAUGUCUUCUAUUCUUUAAAUAGCUGGAAAAGUGUGAUGUUACUUUUUUGAUUCUGUGAUACAAAACACAGGGAAGCUGUAAAGUUACACAUAUGACAAGUGUGAUGUGGUGAUGUUACAUGGUUUGGAAUUGAUUGUCAACUCCUGUCGCUUACUUUCUUGCGGUUCACUUGUCAGAGACCCUCACAGUGUGAAAGCCUGCGCUGCCCUGAAGGCCACUUGUUGGAGUCCUGCUGAUCCUCUCUGGGACUGAAUUGGCCUCAGGAGACUUUGAAAGCUUGUCAGAAAAGCUUAUUCCUGGGCUGAUGGCACCAGGCUGGCACUGGAGCAUUGCUCUCUGCUGUGAUAGAAAGCGAUGGCUGACGUCCCACUGUAAAUAUGUCUCAUGCCAGUUAAGGUGCCUGCUGGAGCAUUGGCACAAAAAAAACGCCGUCUGAGGGCUUUGCAACAAAAAACACAGUGCAUAUUUACUGAAACAAGAAUUAUUACUGUCCCAAGGUCACAACCUUGCGCGGCCGAGUUCGGGGGAGGUUGUCUGUAGUUUCCUGAGAAUAAUAAGUGGGAAAUCUCUGCUUCCCAGACCUCCCAGUAACCCUGCAAAGCGGGAGUUUUACAAUGCCCAGCGAGGACUCCCCUGAUUGGCUUUAUUGCAGGACUUCCACUCUGUGUGCACCCUGUCGUCAGGGGGUCCUCCACUCUAAACUUAGGCCGCUGAGGUCACGCCACUCCAGCCGCGCUGUACGGACGCAUUGAUUUUAUGUCUGCGAGCACGUCAUUUGUCAAAGCAGCUGAUAAUAACUCAUUCUUGAGCACAUUGUGUUGUUCUGUUCUGCUGACAAGCUCGUUUUCCUCCUUCGACCAUCAGGUGUCCUAAAUCUAACUAAUGUCCACAGACCAUGAGGUGGAGCACAUUCUGUGCCUUAGUAAUUGUUUAGUCGUUUCACUGUAUCUGUAGCUAAAUAGUUACUGCUCUUCUACAGACAGAAGUAUAAAGAAUAAAGUCUAUUAGAGAUUAUGGAUGUAAUUGCUCUGCCCUUCCCUUCAGAUCCAGAAAUAAUUUGCUACUCAUCUCAUUUGUUUUAAAUCACGGAAUGAGCGUUAAACAGGCCACAAGUGACCCGCGGCCUGCUAAUGGCUGCGAGGAGGCUCCCUGGGAGCAACCGUGAAAAAUAUGUGCAGGCGCCCAUGACCGCUGAGAUAAUAGCUGCUGCCCGGACCAGGGCUCCUGCGUCCCCCAUCUCACACAGGUCUGAGGUGGAUCAUGUCCGGGACAGAUGGUUGGAGGAGUUUCUGAGUCGCCUGCUGGAGAAGAGGCCAUGGAGCAUCACUCUGGCUGUUUGUGAUCACCAGGUUUUUGUACGCGUGUAUGUCCUUUAGCAUUCAUGCAUCCUGGCAGCUGCUGGCGCUAAGUGCCUGCUAACUGGGCCAAAGUUGACUAUAGUGACUAUUUUCCAGCGCAGAGUUUUGUUUGCGAAAGCUUUUUGUGUCCGUGUGUCGAGCCGCGUCUCCAGUAAGAAAGGAGAAGAUGGGGCAGCUCUAAUUAAAGCCAAAGGAAGAGUGUCGUCUGCUGUGAACUCACCACUAGGGGCCACAGCAAAUCAAUAGGCAGCCAGCACUGUCAUCACCAUCAAUAGCUCCCGAUCGGAGCAAUUUGAGGGGAACAAAAACCAAAGAGAAAGGCUCUACCGGAAGGCUCCUACCACCUGUGCAGGGGAGGAGAAAGAGGAGAGAGGCAGGGAAUAAAUAGAGCCAGAGCCAGAUUGUGACGCCACGGUUCAGGCUAUUGUUAAAUGCUGGAGAUUUAUCAUUUCUUAGUUUAAGCCGGGCAAUUUUGUCAUCAUCUCCAAGGACAUCUAUUUUGAUAAACAAGCUGCAAUUGUAUGAACACUGGCCAUGAUUAAAAUGAUCUCAUGACCCUUUAAAAGUAUAGAUUUUGGGGGGAUCAAACCGCCGCUCGCGGUGAGUUUCAGUGGCAAAUGUUCCCGGCGACACGGAAAAUGUCAGAGCAGAGCACAUUUAGACUAUUGAACCCUGUAAGUGGUAUCAGUGCUUUCCUGUUUGUGUGGACUGUGCCUCUUGGCCGGCGGGCGGAGGCGGCGCUGGAUCGGAUUCUUACGCAAACACAGGCGCACAAGCGGCGUGUUCUCAUGGCAUUAGCAUUCCCCGUGUUUUUCAGGGCCGACGUGAAUGCGGCUAUUUUGGUCCCGCAACCCGCGCUCCCCGAUAGCUCCCAUUGAAUAAAUGAAUCCUGACAAGGGGAAUCUGCAUACAAAAACACAGCGGGCCUGGAGGCGGCGGACGGCCCGGCGGCCGGGGCCUCUGAGCCGCUCCAUUCACUGGCUGCUCCUUUAAAUGGACGCCUCUGUUUACGUCCCGUUCCCAGCAGACGCUGGGGAGACGCUGGGGAGCACAGCUGCACAUUACGUUCUCUGUGCUUCUGGCUGCCACCUGCACAUCCUGCACAUCCUCUACCUGCUCCAUGUCACACACAGGCUGCAGCGGGCGAAGCUUAAACAUGAACAGUCUCUCUUCUCAACAUGACAUAAUCACAGUGCACCAUUAUUAUGGUCCUUGCUUCAUUAAGUGUCAUGGUACUAGAGAGUUGUGUUUGUUUUACAGUAAGAGGAUGUCACGACACCAUCGCCUGGAUGUUCUCCUCCAGCAUUAGCUCCAAGCCCUGUCGAUGAGGUGUUUGAAGCGUUAGUGCAUUGAAGAGGGGAGCUCCCUUUUGAUCGCAGGCAUCUUGAGGCUACUCCCCCUGUCGCUAGCUCCACGGUUCUCCUUGGUAGGACUCCUCUAACUAACUAACUGUGAAGCAUGUCAGUUUUUUUUUAGAUGUGUUAAAUUGUUGCUUUAGAUUUCCUUUGGUUCAGCUAAUGCUAAAUAUAAUAUGAUACAACAAAUAUAUCUGACCUAUAAUAAAAUUGCAGGCCGGUGAUUAUACAGCUCAUUAUUUUAUGGUGCAGUGAGCAAGGCCAUGUAGUAACUACAUCACUAAUUAUUUUAUUCUAACUAACUAACUAUAUUAUUUAAACGUAGUCAUCUCCAGAUUAAGUCCACGUUACCGUACAAUAAAAAACACCAUCUACAAUCAUUUGUUGUCCGCUGCUGUGUUUCAUGUUGCAUGAACCUUGCAUUAGUCGACUGCUCUGUUAUUGGCACUCCACCCGUCGUCCCACGCGGCGCUGGUGGGCAUAUAGAGCAGCCUUUCAAAACGGUGCCAUCUCCAUAUGUUUACCACGAUAAUCUUUUAUCUGCCAUCCCUGACUCUGGUUCAUUCGCUUCCUCGCCUGUGGCAACAAUUUUAUUUCUGCAUCAAUUAGCACAGUGAUUAAUGCAACAAGCAAACAGUUUAGAGGUAAUGGCACACAAUUAACAUCUUUCCCCAACAUAAAGGGUAUGCUAAAUGCUCACACUACCACUUUCUCUGCCUGGAAUGGAGAGAAGUGUUUAGUCCCUAAUUCAUAUGCUGUGGGACGGAAGUGAAGUGGGCCUGGCUUUGUGCUAUGCUAUUACCACAUUAAUCUAAUUAUAGUUAGCUGAAAAUGAGUCUUGCAAAUCAGGACUGAGUGUGACACCACCCCCCCCCCCUUACCCCCCCACAUACACAUUCACAAUGUCCCCUAAAUAGGAGAGUGAAUGAGAAUGCCUUCGCCUUUGAAUGCACCACCGCCGAGCACGACUGCCAACCCGCUCUUCAAAUGCCAACGUCGCCGCUGAAAAGACGCCAUUCACUCGCUUUGUAUCCAAACUUGUUAUCGACUUACUUUUACCACCUACCCCCGGCUCAUUUCUCCUCCUCUGUUUUCUAAUUACAAACCCAGUGGCACCGGGAGGGUGUGCAUGGGUAAAUAGAGCUGUAGGGGCUUGUCAUGUGUGUAGUAGUGGAGAAAAGUCCUCGCAGCGCUCAGGGAUGAGAUGAUUUGUUGUGAUUGACAGCUACCUUGAGACUGGCCUGAUGGAGUUGUCAAAGCUUUAUGCUAACAGCUGGUUUUCUUAGCACUGCAGAUGUACUCUGCUCCGCUGUACUGCACACACACACGCACACACACACACACACACACACACACACACAUGCACUGCUACAUCAUGGGAACUCAAAUAUUUAUUGGGACAGUGGUUUUUAAAUGCAACACGAGAAGAGACAGUCCGAUUUCAAAUCCAAUUUUGCUUUCGGGGGGGUUGUUCUUGUAUAAACAAGCAUUUGGUCCGGACAGAUUCUCGCUGCCACCUCUUCCAUAUCACAGACUUGUUUUUUCUGCCAAGCCGAGGCAGAGCUGUGUGCGAGGGUGCCGUCUUGGGCUAACACUGGGUGUGUGAAUACAAUGGCAAUCCUACAUCUGGGAACUCAGUGGGAAAACUAUCCCAUUUCUCACUUGUGCUGUUAGGAGAGGGUGUUCAUUUUUACAAGGUGGAUAGUGUUACUACAAAAUGAAGCUGUGCAAAAUUCCCUGUGAAAAUCUAGUUAUGAGCGUUCGCUUGGAUUUUGACUGGUACUAUUCAUCACACGGGUCCGUCGAGAGUCCGCGGAACCAGUUUGUUUGUGGUGGGCCGGUCCCUUCCCACCUUUAGCAAAAGAAGCAGACUUCAGAAAUUAAGUUAAAGACAAUUACAGUUUGUAAAAUUCAACUUUUCUUUUUUCUGCCAGUGUCUCUCUUUGCGUUUUGGAGCAAAGGCGACGCUGUGUCACAGCUCAGGGGCUCAUGUUCAGUAGGACAUGAUCUUGACAGCGUUUUAACACAUUUUGCACUUGGUCGCCGGAUUUCUCCUCUGACCUCAAACCCUUUUCCCUCGGUCCCACGACGUUUUCCCUUGCACCUCGUUCUCCAUUGCAGUUAUUCAUCUCGGGAACAAAAGCUAAGUGUUUAGCUGUGACCCAGAUCAAGGGCCCGCGUCUUCCUCCCAGGAAAAGGUAGAAUAACAAAUAAGGCUGACGUUGAAAUCAGCCGUACCUUCUGUUGGCUCCAGACUCCAACAUCUGCGCCGCACCUCUCUCUGUCGCCCACGCAGCUGCUGCCGAAGCUGGGGAGGCUUCAGCCCAGUGCGUCCCAGCUCCCAUCGCCUGGGACUCCCCUGGGAGGAUGCUGACUGGCACCCCGGCUGCCAGCCAGAUGAUGGAUCCUACCAGGAGAAUCAGACGUGACAGGGGGAGGUGAGGCUUGGGAGAGGCCACCACUGAACCUGAGGACGAGGGGCCGACGCGGUCAGCCGCCUCGGCUCCGUGCGCGCAGCAUUAGCGUGCUAGCGUUAGCAUGUUAGCGAGUGGUGCUUUGGGGGCCCCCGUCUGCGCAUGCAUUCAAGCCUUUUUUUUUUAAAUAUAACUCUUUCACUCUAAUCUCCAUCUGGAUGUGAAGCGUUCUAGCCGUAGGAUGUUCUGGUUUAUUUUGAAAGCUGACAGAAUAUCGACAGUGCUUGACUCUUAAUGUUUGUCGUGUUCGCUGAUGGACCCUCUCAAAACUGUGACAGAUGCCAAAUGACACAUGUUGCGGCUGCGCAAACGAAAUCGGGCUGGAAAGAGGGGAAUCGUAGGAAAACAAGUUGGAGAAACGUAUUUCCAGCGAUAACAUAUCAGGUUCUUCCAGAAGACUUAAUCCCUUUUCACAUAGCAUCGGCCCAACUGGCAGCCACGGGUCAGCGUAUUGUAUUUAUAAUCUGCAACUUUCAAUUAUUACACACAAAAAAGAAAAAGAAACAGGUUUUAAAGCCUUUAUGGAGCCCAGCAUAUUGUUUUGUCAUUUCUGGCAUGACCAGCUUGAUCUUGUGAUACCAGCUGGAUGAAAGCUUCAUUCUUGCCCCGCGGCGUCCUGCUGUGCCAUUGCCUCAACCAGACACUGUGAUGGUAAGUGACUGCUGUAAUUGUUCUGCUCCCAGCUCUUACACUUCAGCCAUCCAACUGGCUCCUUCCUCCUGGUCAUGCCAUAUUGCCCUCAUGGGCCGCCUUGGCAUUGGCCCACGGCCCCCAGCACAAAGAUUUAAUACAACACUUGGUUUAAUGUGCAAGUUCUUUGCAGAUUAAUGCAUAUAGAUAAAUAUACAGUAGCACUUACCCAACACGCAUCCUUCUGUUGAUGCAAUGAAGAAUUAAUAAGAAACCUGUCCUUGCUUAGGUUCUUGAUAAUGUUUACAUUGUUAUUUAGCAAAAAUAAAAAAGAUAAAAAAAAUUUUUAAGGCUAGAUAAUAAAUAUUGUUAUUUAUUUUAACAUUUAAAUCACAGUUAAAUGUAAAAAGCAGCGAUUAAAUCACAAAUAGAGACAAGCAGUGUGUGUGUGUGUGUGUGUGUGUGUGUGUGUGUGUGUGUGUGUGUGUGUGUGUGUGUGUGUGUGUGUGUGUGUGUGUGUGUGUGUGUGCAAUAAACAACACCUGACUCAUAAAACACGCUCUUCAGGAUCACUCUGGAAAUAUUCAUACAAAAUAAAAGCAAUGACGCAGCCGCCUUCUGUACAGUAAGUACGUAUACGCCUGCACCAGUACCUCCGCGUUUACUUAGCAGCCCGCCUGUUUUCUUCUUCGUCAUCCGGAGAUUGAACAUGCACUCAGACGCUCCCGUUGCCUCGCGUGGCCUUGCUGACUAUACUCCAGCGCUCACACAAGACAACAAACAGACUAGAGGGGAGAGGAAGAUGAGGGGGGGGGUUGCCUACUGUACAGUACAUCAAAUAUUAAAUUGUUUACCAUGGUAAAUAGACUCAUCUUAGCCCAGUUUGUUUGAAGUGACAGUCACGGCUGCGAGUAGCGGCUGCACUCGUGCAUUUGCCAUUCACACUGUUGUGCCUCGUCUCCGCGCACUACAUUAGUCAGGACUGACGCUGAUAUCUCUGCGUUCGGGCGCUAAUGCUGGAACCCCCGUAGCGGUCUCCGUUCGUUUGCUUAUGUAAUAAAAGCCGUACAGCGAAGGGGAGGAGAGGAGGAAGAGCACAAACAAAAUCAGGGAGGAAUAUUAAACUGUUCUUCACAGCUAAAAUGUUUUAAACAUCUGAAGCAAGCACACCACCCAUCAUCUCCCUUCACCUGUGGAGCAGCAGCACACACGCACACACAUGCACACACACACACACACACACGCCGCACACACUUAAACCCACCCUUAGGGAUUCGUGAGGCUGGCUUUUAUCUUGCCUAACGACCAGUAGUCAAGUCAGGAACCUAGUGAAUAAUUCACUAUAUUUACCUGCUCCUCUCUUCAAGACUUAUAAUGUUUGUAUUGCACUAAAUAAAUAUAUAAACGAAGCACUAGGUGAACAUGUGAAUGCAUAAAUAACUAAAGGAGAAGUGAUGCGGACGAGCGCUUCCGUCAGAGGUAUGUUGCCAUCUUCUGGUUUUGGAGUCAAACUUCAGGGGAGCAGUUACUCGUUUUGAUUAGAGCUGUGCUGUCUUCAUUACGUCUCAGUCGUAAAUGAAUUGAGUAGUGAGUAUGAAUCGUCGGGAUAUUUUUGUUGCAGGACUCAAGGCUCAACUUUAAGGAGCCGUGUCAUUUGCGUUGAUGAUCGUCCACAUAUGCCGUGCUGUUCCACUGCUUCCACUGAUCUGUGCUGUGGCAGGGUGUUAAUUGGCUCGGCCCCGCGGUGCAUCUGUACCUCCACACAAAUGUUUGCCUCUGUGCUGUAUGUUAUGAAAAUGAGGCCAUAGCCUGGUGCUUCUUUUCUUUCUGAGUGGCUCCUUCCUUUGUUGCUAACAUCCCAUCAUGCUCGGCUCCUCGUCAUGGGGCCCCGUGUUCCCGGAGCUGAAGCCAUCAUCAUAUUAGACUGCACACGUAAUACAAAAAAACAGUGUGAUCUAUGGAUAUAGUUUUGAGCUUGUACUAUUUUCAUUUUUUAGCACCACAAUGUCUCACGGGUUUAUUGAGCGCUUUCAUUCACACCAGCGAGGCUCCACCAUGUUGCUCCAGGGCACAGCUCCCGUGUUUGUGUGCGAUGGUCAGCAACAUGCGAGCUGCUGCUUCCUUCCAUGUCAGGAGGACAUGUGUGACUUAACUUUGUGUGUAGUGUGGAGUUUUUGGUGUGGGGUCAGCAUGGGGUGCUGAAUAAGCGGGAAGCCACGCUGAGUGGGCACAUGCCCCAGAAAGUGCCAGAGGACAAUCAACGCGGCCGCCAAACACACACACACACACACACACACACACACACACACACACACACACACACACACACACACACACACACACACACACACACACACACACACAGCCAUCCAUUCUCUCUCUCUGCCUCUGUUUUCCUGUUUGUAUCUGUUUUCCCAUUCUCUGCUCCUUUUUGCCCGUGGCUAGACAGCUGUGUCCAUCAGGCCGUGAGGCCUGUGACAAGGGUCACAUGCUAAGAACCCACUAAGAUCAUGGCAGUGGAGCAGCUCUUCUGCUUGUUUGUUCGGGGGUGAAGUGCAGGAACCCAGGGUUUAAGCAAUGAAACUCUUAUUUUGAUUACAUCUUAUUCUGUACCUGAUUAAUAAUUAAUAAUUAACAUAAAACAUUGUAAUUGUUUUUGUAAAUGAAAAUCAGUGAUAGUUUCAACAACACAGGCUGAUGAGUCCAGAUCUCUACUGAAACUGACAUUGUCCUUAUUUUAAAUGUUUAAUAAAACAACACAAAGAGUUUCAAAAGUAGAAUAGCGGGUAUCAUGUUAAUGAAUACAUGUAUAUAAUCAGAGUCAACAACAACAGACAAUUAAAUGCUUUUUUGUUCACUUUGCAGGCCUCACUUCACUCUAUUAGAGGAUUUAAUGUGACGCUGGCAGCAACAGAACGUCCACUGUUUUGAAAGCACUCUGAUAAUGAGUCAGUGUCCCUCGAAUGGGAUCCAUUAGAUUUUAUGCUUGGUUGGGUUUUAACUGUGUGUCCUGUGAUACGUUUACAGUCGUUUGAGAAAAGUGCCAGAGUGUGAGAAACAGAAUACUUUUUUAGGUGUCCAGAGUGGAGAAAUACUGUAGCAUCUUCAUCAUCUACAGAUCAGUUUAAGAAACGAAAGAAAAAGAAAAGGCCAGGUUUGCACAUUACUAUAGAUGAAGAGUGUACACAGCACGGGGAUUUACGUAUGUGGAACCAUGGGUGAUAAUUAUUAUUAUUAUGUUAUUUGAAAUAUUGCACGGGUUUACAAUAGGUACAAUGAAAACCAUUAAUUUCAGUGAGUGAGUGGAGUACAGUCAAUGUUCAUUCCCUGGACGCUCAUCAGUGGGAAAGUCUCUCCAUCUCCUUGGUUCUCCCUGCGUUGAUUAGGAGGUGGUUCUGCUGACACCGGUCCACAAAGUUCUGAGUAAGUCCUCUGUUCACUGCGUCCUCGUCGUUGAUCAGGCCGACAGCCGCUGAGACAUCUGAGAACAUCUGUAGACACACAGCUGUCCAUGUUGUGUCUGAGGUCUGCGGUGAGGAAGUCAUGUGACACCUGGAGCCUUUAUUUUUAUGUUACACACACAAGGAGCAAAACGUGAUCAGUCCAAAACCUGUGGUGAUAUUUUUAUCAAUUUUAUUUACAUGUUACUGAUGUUUUUCUAAAUUUGCUGGACUUCAGAAUGUUUUAUGACCAUUUCUAUAAUAACCAUAUAACAAAGGACUAAUGACAUGUGAAAUGCCACGUGCUCAUAAUAAAUAUAAAGAUAUAUUUGUCUCAAUUCAUUUUUCUUCAAUGUCAGUUUGCAUUUACAUUUUUCUGUAUUUGUGUUUUUGUUUUGUCCCAUCGCAGAUGGUUUUUGUAUUAACAUUACAGUAAUCCUACUGUUGGCCAUCCAUUACCUCCAACCAUGUGUGGCUGUGUUUAUAGUGAAAAUAUUGUCACACACUGCUACAGCUGCUCAGAUUCACUUCAUGUCGGGCUUUAAGGAGCAGCUACAAGCUUUGCUUUAACAGCUCUGCGUCUUUGAUGUCGGGGAACUGAAUAUCCCCCCAGAUCUUGAGCGCAGUUCCAGAAUAAACACUGUGGUCUGGAGGUUAACUUGCGGGGCAUUAUAUAGCCUGAAUGCUGAAAUCCAUACGGCUUCAAUGACUUUACCCCUCUCUCUCUCUCUCUCUCUCUCUCUCUCUCUCUCUCUCUCUCUCUCUCCUCCCCACCUCGCCCCUCAUUCAUGCACUGCAUUUCUUACUCUCUCUCUCUCUCUCUCUCUCUCUCUCUCUCCAGCAGCUUUUGUAACUUUGUGGCGUGGCAGCAUGUGCCCGCUCGUCCCUCGUCUGUCUGUCUCUUGUCCUCUGUCUGUGUCUCCUUUCACUUGCCGAGGUCCAGUCGAACAGAGGAGCCGCGCUCUCUGUGACCUGCGCUUGUCACUGUUAAUUGUAUGGGUUUAAUUACAAAAACACAUUUAGCACGUUGAAAGGGGUUUAAGUUAAAUCCUUCCUCUGCAGAGCAAACCUCCAGGAUUUGGAUGUGGCAGGGCUGUAUCAGCUACGCGAGCAGAUUAGAUGUUGCUUCUUAUCUUAUCUCAGCCUUUUAUUCAGCUGUCUGUCUGAGCUUUUACAGACUGCUUAGAAGCUCUUACAAGGGAGCUUGAUUUGUGUGAUGCACCCAAUCACUUCCCUGAAGGAUGUUUUGUGUUCCCUUCUGUUCUCUGCUUAUCCAGUAAAUUCUAACAUAAACCAAUAAAUUUUAGAAGUGGACCUACAUUUAACAAUAAAUGUUUCAACAAUAAUUAAACAAAGAGGAACAUGGUGUCAAGAGGAAAUUUUAGUUUUAUCCUGUUGUAUUUGUCUGCUUUUUCUUCGAUGCGCAAUUUAGGCAGAAGUUGUAUAUUCAUUGCAUCUGGAACAAAAACACAUAGAAAUGGACACAAACAAAUUUGAGCAGUUUAAAAAAUAUAUUAAAUUUAUAAUAAAAAAAUAAAUGAAUAAAUCUUUGUAAAUUUUUUUACUUUAUAGUAGGCAGUCUAUGCAAAUAUCUUUUAAAAUAACAAACAUGCAGCACAGGCGCAUCCAAACCUCAUUCACUGGAUCCGGGUCCAUUGUAGAGGAGCCACCGAAGCCCCGUUUAAUCAGAAGGAUUUGUCAUGUGAUUGACGGACUGUUGACAGCAGUAUUGGGGCAGUAUUUAGCAAGGUCUCAGGACCCCCGUGGCUAAAGUGAAUUUUAUGGAGACACUGGAGGGUCGCUGGCAUAACAAGAAGUCGGGCAGUUUUUAGAGCUGAUGCAAAUGAAGGUAUUUCAUGUUGACACCGUCUGGGGUGUGAUGGUUGAUCACUUUGUGCAUGGUGGGAAAACAAAAGUGUGCGCACAGCCAACCUAACAGCAUCGCAGGCCUGUGUAUGCGUGUGUGUGGUGUGUGACCACUGUCCCGCUCCACGUCUGGGAGCAGAGCAGAGUACGUUAACAGACCUAAUUUACAAUGUAUGGACUCUGCGGACUGGAACAUUCGGAGUUAUGAGAUAGUUAAGCGCUUGGUUAACAAUGCCUGGAUUAAAAAUGGGGCCAAUGGCUGGUGAUGAUCUUGUGUGUGUAAUUAUGAGUUAUUACCAAGAAGAUUAAAAAAGCAAACUGUGAGAAAAACAAAAAAAAGAAAGAAAGAAUUUAAGGGAAAUUAGUGAUGCAUAAUUAGUAAUGGUCGUAUCAUGUAAUUUAUAAUAUUUUAAUGUGAGAUUUUGUCACAAUGAUUAUUGUAUUGUUAUAUAAUAUUAACAUCACUUUGUCUAAUUAUUUAUUUGUUUUGCAGUUGAUUGUUUUAUUAGUAUUAUAUUUUUUUGUUUUUUAAGAUGUGAAUGUGCUAAAAUGUUGUUUUCCCUUUUUUUUGUCCCCAAAAGAAUCAAGCUCUCACAAAUGAGACUGUAAUUGUUUUAUUUGUAGCAGACGCACGUAGAUUUUUGUCACUUGCUAUUUCAGUGAAUAAAACUUUGAUUAAGUCUACUCCACAAAAUACUGCUGUGGCCUCAGUGAAAAUAUGAUCAGGCUAAAAUAUGCAACUGAUAUAGUCCUUUAGAACAUUAGACUGCUUUUAAUUAUGAGAGCUGUGUUCUUUUAUUAUUUUAUACUCGUUUUUUUAUUAUUAUAUAAUGAGACUGUAUGAAUGUAGGUGGUAAAACCAAACUAAUAAAAGUAAACUAUAGUUUCACUAAACUAUAGUUUCACUAAACUCCUAUCACAUCCUUUUUGACCUUUGCCUUUUUUAAUUUUAAUUUACAUUUUCUUUUUACAGCCAAUUUUGAAACAAUAAUUCAGAGGAAAUUACGAGAUUCAAGCCUUCCACUGCAGUCCUGAGGUCAUGGUUUUGUGGGCAACACCGCCUCUAGAGGCAAUAGGGAGAACUGCAGUUCUAUCUCUAUUUGCAGCUUCGAAAGAAAAGUUUUUUUGUAAGAAAUGUUGUUUAUUAUUAUCUUAAAACCUACGUUCAAAACUAUUUUAAAAUUAUUUACUAAAGAAUGCUCAUUGUCUUGAUUUCAUUUAAUUUCCGUUCGUUAAGUGUUGCAUGAUUGUUGUUGAGACGUGUUAAAUCGGCAGCUGCUCUCUCUCACGCCAGAAAAAAAACGAACAAAAAAUAAAUAAUAAAAAAUUAACGCACAUAAGUGAUUUUAAAUUAGCUUCUUUCCAAUGAAAAGAUAAAAAUAAGAGUGAAUGAAUUGCAGCUCUGAGGUUUAAUUGCUUUUUCAUGAUCCAGCAAUCCUGCAGGAAAAUGCAGCGUAAAAAAGCCCAAUUAGAGUCUUUUCACUUUGUGCUGGAGACAGCAGGGUUCAGGCUGAUUGUCUUUCUCUGCUAGUUGCUCUGCUCCAGAAGGUGAUACUGGGUUGGACCCCUGUUACCCUCCGAGCCUUCUGUUAAAUUUGGCAGAAAAAACACCAGUGCUCAAGGAAGAACAAAGGCGCACCAGUUUCGCCAUAGAACCAGAAAAAGAAUCCCUGAAGAAUGGAUUAAUUUGGUCUAAUCGACGAGACCCAUUCCACGCUUACUCUAGCAACAAGAGCUAUUGGAGCGAGCAGGAAGCGGCGCUGCUCCUUAUUAAAUUGCCUAAAAUGCCUCGGAAGUUCUUUAGCACGCUGCCUCUAUACAGCAGAUGCUCUGCAUUAAUUGGUCUAUGAAGGCCUGACCCAGGGCUCCGUGCAAGCGGUUUAAGAAGCAUAUUUAUUAUUUGAUGUAACCUGGCAUACAUGACGCGUGCUCGCGAGGGUCGUGUUUUGGGAUAUUAUACAGUUCCUAAUGUUGCGCGCGCUUCGGGGAGACGGCGUUCAGGAGGUAAUGUUUUAACAGCAGGUGAGUUCCCAAACGCAUUCAUCAGAGACCUGCUCUCUCCCCUCAUCCGGCCACGGCCAUGACUGAUGGGCUUGUCUUUUGUAUGAAUGUUUAGCACAGUGGAAAGCCAUAUGCCACUGGCACCGGCUCCUGCCCACCACCUUCCACUUCAGCUGUGGUGGAGAAGAAGAACGUCAGGAUGAGAGAUGAGGACGACGCAGAGGAGAACGAGCGCCGAAUGAGGAAUAAUGGAAAGUCCCACGCACCUGAUCUCUGCUCCAGGAGCUGAAUGCAGCUGGAUGGACCUUCUCAUCACAGCGACCAGCGUAUGCAUAUGCGCAUACUCACCGAGUGCGAGAUGGCUCUGCUCUCUUACCUCCUUCUCUGGCUGUCCUGUGAGCAUAAGGCUUGGCCUACCAAGCCUAUCAGGAUGCACCACAUCAGCAGCAGCCACACCAUCCGCCAAUCCGCCGGCGACCUAAUGAGUGGCACGCAGCCCAUGGACCAAUCGAAACACAGCCACCAGGGACACAGCAGCAACCACGCAUUCAGAGAGUAGUAGUAAUUAUAGUUCACUAUCUGCCAAUCAAAGGGGAACAGGAGGAGCACAGAGUGAGAGAGGGAGGGGGAGAGAGGAGGGAAGGGCGAGAGAGUAGGAGCAUUUCAAAUGUUGGUUCAAAGUCAAUCAAUGUUUAAAAUUGAUGAAUAUAUUAGGCACAAACCAUGUUCAAGAUUAAUAUUCCUCAAUAAAGCUGAUUCAUAAUUGAAUAGAGCCCAACUGAAGAAAUCAGGAUGAAGUCUUGUAUAUCUGUAAUGUGUCAUUAAAUGUGGCGUCUCAGAUUUAAUUAUCCCAUAAAAGCAAUUGUUACUCACUCUAAGGAACAAAUUAUCUGCAAAAGAGGCCGGGUUGUCUACUUCAGUGAAUGCCGGGGGUCCUGUUCCCAUGAUCCUCCAGCGUGCAUAGAGCAUUAAGAGUCCUCCGAGACCCAUGAGGGUCAGACGUGUAAGUAAUCCGGUUCGCAACAUUUCACAUACCUGUCAGAAAAAACAUACUACAGCUUGUCAUAUACACAUCUGCGCUAUGCUGAGCACAGUGCAAUGACAUUCAUUACUAUACAUACACAAAGUAUGUGAUUUGACAUUAAUCAUAUCAUAAGGUUUAAUUUAAUAAUUUAUGACAGAAUGGAGGGGGAGGGUAUAAAAACUGGAACUCACAUCAAGUGGAUUCUUCCUAAGGAGCAGCCUCUGGCUGAGUUCAUACACAUUUACAUUACAGAUCACAAGGACAUCAAAGGCUGCGUUCACACCCUGAGGGGAAAUGGAAAAAGAAAAAAAAAUUA